GUGCUCGCUUCAGCAGCACAUAUACUAAAAUUGGAAUGAUACAGAGAAGAUUAGCAUGGCCCCUGCGCAAGGAUAAUAUUGGAUGGGGCCAAGCUCUUUU
rnacentral:snRNA from 1 species